rnacentral:rRNA from 1 species
GAUGAACGCUGGCGGCGUGCCUAAUACAUGCAAGUCGAGCGAACAGACGAGGAUCUUGCUCCUCUGACGUUAGCGGCGGACGGGUGAGUAACACGUGUAUAACCUACCUAUAAGACUGGUAUAAUUUCGGGAAACCGGCGCUAAUACCAUAUAAUAUAUUGAACCACAUUGGUCAAUAGUGAAAUACGGUUGUUCUGUCACUUAUAGAUGGAUCCGCGCCGCAUUAUCGAGUUGUUAAGUUAACAGCUUUCCAAGGCAACGAUGCGUAACCGACCUGAGAGGGUGAUAGGCCACACUGGAACGGAGACACGGACAAGACUACUACGGGAGGCAGCAGUAGGGAAUGUUCCGCAAUGGGGGAAAGCAUGACGGAGUAACGCGGAGUGAGUGAUGAAGGUCUCAGGAUCGUAAAACUCUGUUAUUAGGGAAGAACAAAUGUGUAAGUAAAUAUGCACGUAUUGACGGUACCUAAUCAGAAAGCAACGGCUAACUACGUG